AUUGAACGCUGGCGGCAGGCUUAACACAUGCAAGUCGAGCGGAGAUGAGGUGCUUGCACCUUAUCUUAGCGGCGGACGGGUGAGUAAUGCUUAGGAAUCUGCCUAUUAGUGGGGGACAACAAUCCGAAAGGAAUGCUAAUACCGCAUACGUCCUACGGGAGAAAGCAGGGGAUCUUCGGACCUUGCGCUAAUAGAUGAGCCUAAGUCGGAUUAGCUAGUUGGUGGGGUAAAGGCCUACCAAGGCGACGAUCUGUAGCGGGUCUGAGAGGAUGAUCCGCCACACUGGGACUGAGACACGGCCCAGACUCCUACGGGAGGCAGCAGUGGGGAACAUUGGACAAUGGGGGGAACCCUGAUCCAGCCAUGCCGCGUGUGUGAAGAAGGCCUUAUGGUUGUAAAGCACUUUAAGCGAGGAGGAGGCUACUGAGACUAAUACUCUUGGAUAGUGGACGUUACUCGCAGAAUAAGCACCGGCUAACUCUGUGCCAGCCGCCGCGGUAAGAC
rnacentral:rRNA from 1 species